UUAAAAAGUAGCUCUAGUUAGAAAUAGUCAACCCCCACCCUUUUUCCAAGAUAGGGCACACUAUUUAUUUAGCUCUGGCAGGCUGGCCUUGAACUUACUGAGUUCAGGCUAGCCAGAGAUACAUAGACCCCUGUUUCAGACAGACAAACACCAAACACUCUCCACCUAGACUGGUGUGGCUCACUGUUGAGUAACAAAGCUGUUACUAGAAGCCAGGCCUUCUGA
rnacentral:lncRNA from 1 species